ensembl:lncRNA
GUAAAAUGCACGUUUCUUUUUUUCGCUGAUUGUAUUUCUGUAAUACAGUGUUAAAGGAUUAGUUCAAACAAAAAUGAAAAUUUCCUAAUCAUUUACUCCUCCCAAUGCCAUCCAGGAUAUCCAUGGCUUUUUUCUUCAGUGGAAAAUAAAUGAUGUUUUUUAAGUCUUCAUAUAAUGGACUUCAAUGCCUACCAACUUAAUACAUUUUACCAGUUCUUUGAAGGUCCCAGAGUGGAGACAUGUAGGCACUGGGAGCUCGAGACUCGACUCAGACUCGAAUACGGGACUCGAGACUCGACUCGGACUCGGACUCUGGUAAUGGUGACUCGACUUGGACUCGACUCGGACUCUUCUUUGGUGACUCGGACUUGGACUCGGAUUUGAACACUGGGACUCGAGACUCGACUCGGACUCGACAGUUGGUGACUCGACUACAACACUGGCUGAAACUACGAAGAAGUAGAGAGACUGCUUGCAUUUUACCUCUGGACAAAGACUGAUUACUUCUACACAAUAUAAUAAGAAGUGGAACUCGCCUUUAUCUGAAGAAUUAUUUUUCAUAUUUAGGAAAAAAGCUUGUGGCAACUGUCUUCUCUGAACAGCGGUCUUGUGAACAUGGGCCUCAGUACAAUAAAGGUGUCUGAUGUUGAUGCAGUCUGGGCACUAGUAUCUGUUGGCUUGCUGACUAUCACUGAAGAUGAAGUACUUCUCCAAAUCUUCUCUGCCUUGACCCUGUGUCUUCUGCCAUCAUUGUUCAGUGUAGUACUGCAAAGAACAGUCUCCAGGGUCUACCUCGAACAUUUGCUUCCGGACCGCCAUGUGCUACCUUUGGAUUACUGGUACAUGUGGAUUACCCUGAUACUGUGAAGAACACUUACAAUAUGAUGCUUGACUUGGG